UCAUCGAAGAAAAGUAUGUUUUUCUUUUUAGGAAGCUAAAUCCAACCUAACCUCAAAUCAGAUGCAGUUGCUCUAUCAUAUUAGGUGCAGUUACUUUAUCGUAUUAGGUGCAAUUAACCUAACGCGUAUGUAGAUGUAGUAGGUACAUAUAUAUGUUUAAAUUUUAUCCUUCGCAUAAUUUGUUUCAUUUAAGUAUGCUUAACGUUUAUUAUCUGGAAAUUCGAUGUGUUUCCUAGUUUUAAUACUGCUGUUACUGUUGCGCCAUUAUUUAUUUAAAAACAAAAAAAAAAAAAGAAAACGAUCGAGGACAAGAAACCUUUAAAGAACUUCCCGAUUCAGUAGAUCGUUAACUGCUCCUUCCUCAAUUUGUAGGGAAUUACUUUACAAAAUUAUUGUCGAUAAUCUUCACCUACUUCAAACUGAGAAGUUCCCAAAUCCACGUUUGCCCUUUUUCCACAAGUCGAAAGUUCCCUUGUAAAUGAGGUAAAACCCAUUUUCGCCAUUUUCACCAAGAACUACAGUGACUACAAUGGAACUCCGUUUAUAUGAACGAAAUUUAAGUACUGACUUUAACUUUAGUUGAGCUCCUAUUCAUCUGAACUGUCGCCGAGUGUCAAUUCACUUAGAUUAACUGCAGACGAGCAACUUUUAUCCGCGCGAUGUCAGUGCGAUCGUGUGUUUUUCUUUGUUUCUCCAAUUCUUUCCACCAAAGACAACGAAGACAGAUAUACGAUCACAGCGACAUCGCGCCGAGAAAUCUUGCUCGUCUGCAUCGGGCCUCAUGUAAACGUCCACCAAUAAAGCUAGGUCUGCAUUAGCGACAAUUUGUCACUCUCAGUCGCAUCAAUCAAAAGUUCCAUUUCUUCUUCUUGUAAAAACGAAAAAGUUCUGCGGUCGUGUCGUCAAAUGCGCGCACGUCCGUAUAAACGAAUGCCCUUCUCGUAAGCGAAAAGACUAUCGCGUGACAAAUUGUCGCUAGUGCGCGCUUAACCUAAAGCUUAGACCACACUGGCAAAUGUUUAUCUGCAGACGUGUAUUUACAAUUUGCGUUUCAAAUCGGAGAGAAAAAUUCUGACAGACAAUAGUGGUAUUUUAUGGUAGAAAAUUUUUUCGUCGUUAUAAUAUUAAUUAUUUAUAUUUUUAUGAUAUCCGGCCCCGGAACAGUAUGUACGUAUGUAUUUAUUAUUUAAAAAUCAGGAUUUACAAAAUUUAGGGUACUCGUUUUCGUUGUCGAAAGGGACUUGCAAGGACCUGGUGAUGGUUAUAUUUGUACAAAGAUAGAUUUCGACAAUCUGUGUGUUCCAUUUCCAACAAAUUUCCAAUUGUAGAGCAGCCUACAUACAUUUUUUGAUAAUUAUCGGCGAACAAAGUAUGUAGACGAACUGUGUCAGUGUAUACACGCCUUUAGGAUAUAAAUGGCAGAGGCACGUGUUAUGUGACACACUUCCAUGUAUCGCAGUCGAUACAGAUUUGCAAUAUUAUUACGUAUUCGAGAGCGUACGUUUCAUGGAAUCCUCUUAUAUGAACAUUCCUAUUAACUGAACGAAAAAUCAUAGAUGGUAGGGAGAAAUGAUGGAUUCCUACCAUAUCAACGACCUGGUUAUAUAAACUAAUUUGUUCUCCGAUAGGUUCAUAUAAACAGAGUUCUACUGUAUCUGUUUUAACUCAGGUGUUUCGUCGCACACGCUUCAGGGUAUUAAAAAGGAACGAUAAAAGGGGAUAAAUAAAUAAACAGACAGGCAUUUAAACAAAAUAAUCCGUGAAUUUAUUAAAAAUAACACAGGAAAGAAUAAAGGAAAUGACAAACAACAAAUCAGGACAAUGAAGCCGCACUAACCGGUUAGGACGAUCAUCUAAUUAAUCAAUUAGUAAAUCUGCUAAUCGUAACUUAGCUAGUAGCGUAUCACAACCGCGGGCGCUCCUCUCGGUACCUAUUUCUUUUACAUUUUUAGCUUUCGAGAGAAGACCAUCGGUAUCGCCAUCACUUCAAUUUUAUUAUUUCUUCUCUUACGUAAAUCAACUCUUACGUCCCGUAUUCCACUUAUCCAUCAGCUUUUACAAUUUUCAUGCGGAUAAGUCCAAAAACGCUUGGUAUCGCCGUUUCGACGAUAGAAAUAAAAAAGAAACACGGAUGAAUACACAAGUUUGUUUGAAAGAUACAAUAUCUCGAUCUACUGCCACAUCUUGCAAAAUAUUCUCCGCAUAAUGUAAUUAUUAAAAUCACAUCGUUUCGUUGUACAGAUUAUCAUAGACUUAUGUGCACGAAAUAUUUUGCAACAUAGAUUGGCAGUUUAAUUCUAUCGUCGAUAGCCCGUAGAAUUUCUAGGUAACUGUUUACACUUUAAUUCACAGUAGCUUCAACAUAUACAAUAUCAAACUAAACUUGAUGGAAAUAUUCGACCAAUUGUCGGCAAAUAAAGCUUCUCAGUUCACCCAUAUGACGCAAAUAUUUCGACUCCAUACAGUUUCUCUGAAUAUCGCUACAAUUUUCGUUGUUCAAACCAAUUCUAUUUUUUUACGCAAUUUUAUAACUCCAGCUCUGGUAAAACUGCUAUCUGGCAGUCCAUCUUCGACGUUCUUGUCCUUCACGUAUCGUUCGUUUGCUGCAAACAAUGACAUAACCGAAAAAUCACAAUUUUAGAUUUGAAUGUCCUGAACUGCUAUAGUGUCGCGGUGAUGCAAUAGCGACACAGCUGCCCUCGCGCGGUGAAUGCUCCAAGUUCACUUGCACGACUCCACCAGCACAAAGUGUUUUUUCUGUACCAAUAACUCAAAAACUACAAAUACUGAACUAUGUCAUUGUUGCAGCGAAAGAACGAUAUGUUAUCAAGAAAUAAAAGAAUACAGUAGCAGUAAAAUGGAGAGGAGUCGAGCUAGCGUUUCUCAACCAACGAUUCAGAUGGAAAUUGAAUUUUACUGCAAGAAUUUCAAACACGAAAUUGGUUUCAUCGCGUGGCUGAGAAGCACCGGUAUAUGCAAUCAACUUAUACGGAUAUACAUACGAGUGAACAACCAUUUCCAGAAUGUCUACAUAUCCUUUACUUAAAUAAUAGUAUUCUUAUCGAUAAAGAUGAAUAGUAGUAGAUUUAGUUCUUCGAUAGUAAUCAAAUCGCAUUUCGUCAUUAAGAAAGAAACGUUCAAAGAUUUAGGGCAAAAGAGAAUUUUUUCACGAUCACUUAAUUAUUCGAGGGGAAUAAAUAAGUCAUCGACAAUAGUUUCUCAAUUUUUAAUCAAUUUCAUAUACCUGACAUUCGACAGAGUAAACGAUAAAAAAAAUUCAUAAAUUGUUCGUUCCCGGUUAACUAUAUCAUAUAUGUUCAUUUAUUUAUAAAUAAAUAAAAAGAAAAAAUUGUUUCUUUCAACGUUAUUUCCAUACUAGUGACUUGUCUCGAUCACGCAUUCGUAUGUUAUUUGCGAUUAAGUAUAUCAGAGAACUUGAAUUAAUAAUAAAGAAAUAAAUUAAUGAUUAAAGAAUAGGAUUUCAAAAUAUUUCCUUCGUAUAAAUAAACAAUGUUAUAGUUAAUAAAUAUUUAUUAUCUCUAUCUGUUUUAUCACACGGUAACUAUAUAGAAGUUUUUCUUUGGGGAAAUAAAUCAGUAUUUUAAGGAAUAUAUUUAUUAACGCAUCACUUAUACAUCGCGUUCGAUAAUCCGUAAUUAACCGAUACGAGGCGUAUUAAUUUAUCGAUUCGCUUCCGACGAAUUUAAUUUACUGCGGGAACUUUGUCACGGUUGUAUUUUACAAACGCUUUAUUUUCACGUUCGACAGAUUUAUUAAUUUUUAUUGCCAACGACGCUAUUCAGGAAGUUGUUAAGUCAUUCGGUUUUAGAAAUGUACACAACUAAUGGAUCCAGUUAAAAGUGAAAAUACACGAUGUGAAAGAGAAAUCGACGAAGUUUAAUAUAAACGCUCGAAGAGAAAAUAUACAUCUCUUUUCGCGGAUGUUUACGAGAAUCUUAGCUCUAUCGACAAACACCGUACGAACAAAAUUUAGAAUCCACCGAGUUUUCAAUUUCCGAGGUGAUGUCCAGUUAAUCAGCGCCACUUUCCACUCUAAUUAGGGAUGUAAGUUCAUUAAGAAAAAUGCUCGGUCAACAACGAACCCGCGGAUCACAUUCACCAAUUCGCUCGUUUACCGAAACCUCCCAUCGACGAUUUUUUUUUGUAAAUAACAAUUGGAGUCUAAAGGUAUAUAAAUAUUUUCAACUAUCGUGCACUUGUUUAUGGUAAAUCGUCGAUGAAAAUAUUCCUCUAAACGAUCACACGAGUUUUAAAUCACAACCCUUCUCAUCGUCCCUUUUCUCGUUAACUUCGAGAUAAAGUUCGUUUUUCUUCUCAUUCGAAACAUCCUCCGAUUAUUUUCAAUUACGAAUAUACCUUUAAUUAGAAUCAGAAUUAAUCAGUCAGAAUUAAUGUACGUAGCUUGUACGAUACGAUAGAAAUUUUUAAAAAAUUGCAAAAAGGCAAUAAGUAACACUCUUCUUUUUACGAACACAAUCACAGAAUUUUACAAUUCCCUCUAUCGCUAUCCACACCGUUAAAAUUCACGUUGAAACAUGUUUCGAUGCUUCGACGUCCACGUUUCACGAAAUCUGUUCAGUUUCAGUUCGCCUCUACGUUGUCGGUUCUUCUCAAUUUAUAACCUGAUGCCAAUGUUGCAACGCGUGUUUCGACGUGUCUGAUUAUUUUCCAACUCCAGUAUCAUCAUCGACAAUAGGAGGUCUGUUCGUUGUAAAAAGAUAGAAACUUAAAAAUCUAAAAAGAAACGCGCGAGAAGAUGGCCAAUUGAAAGAAACAGGUUUCCUAACCUCGCGUUGUUGAUGGAACUAAAAACGAACGAACCGAUCGAUUAUAGAAAUUAUUUGCGUAUGGAUCACCCUGUUUCUCAACAUCUACUGGACAAAGUUCAGCCAAAAAUACGAUGAUAACGAAUCUGCUGUAAAUUAAGUAAACUAAAUCGGCGAUGCCCUCUGCACGUUGAAACUUGUGUCCCAAUAAGGUUAUGGUCGCCAACUAAGAUUGGAUUAUUGUGUUGUUGGUUGGGUUCCUGUAUCGAUACAAGUUGCUUCUGAUGUCUAUCUGUCGAGGCUUAAUUACAUAAUUGUAACACGUGCCAUGAAACUUAAGACUCGAUGCAUGCAACAUGUUGCAAGUGUAUAUGGGCCUUUACGCUUAAGCCGAAUUUACACUGUUUCAGUUUGGAGGAACAUCGCGGAUGAACUUGUUUCCAUCAGUGGCUCAUUCGAGGAUGAAAGCAGCGUUCAUCGGCCGUGUUCCUCCAAAGUGAAACUGUGUAAAUUCCACUCCAGCCUUGAGGAAACAAGCUACAAAGCCGGCGGAACGUCGGAAUUCUUUCACUUCUGGACGAGGCUGUUUCUCAGAAGCUUCAAUCUGCGUUAAACGGAUCGGUGCUAAGUGUAACAGUGUGAAUAGCGACAACCCAGCUCGUGCAAACUUCAACACUCUCGAUCUUUCUAAUAUCCAUCUUAAAUCACAUGAAAAGGGGGGAAAAAAAAAAGAAAAAAUAAAAA